GCAGUCGUGGCCGAGUGGUUAAAGCGAUGGACUAGAAUUCCAUUGGGGUCUCCCCGCACAGGUUCGAAUCCUGUCGACUGCG
rnacentral:tRNA from 1 species